GACAGAGGUGCCGAGCGUUAGGCGGAAUCACUGGGCUUAAAGCGUGUGUAGGCGGGUCGUUAAGUGUCUUGUGAAAUCCCACGGCUCAACCGUGGAACGGCUGGGUAUACUGCCUGUCUUGAGCCAACUAGGGGCGAGCGGAACAGACGGUGGAGCGGUGAAAUGCGUAGAUAUCGUCUGGAACGCCAAAGGUGAAAACAGCUCGCUGGGGUUGUGCUGACGCUGAGACACGAAAGCCAGGGGAGCGAACGGG
rnacentral:rRNA from 1 species